rnacentral:lncRNA from 1 species
AAACGUUUCUGAAUGAUUAGAGUUGACAUGAAGCUAGAAUUGCAUUUUGAAGCUGAAGACAUUUUCAUCUCUCUAAAGUCUGUACAACUCCCCCAGUGGUGUACAAACAUGGAGAGGACAAACAAUU